rnacentral:rRNA from 1 species
CACGGGGGAGCAAGCGUUGUUCGGAAUCACUGGGCGUAAAGGGCGUGUAGGCGGUCAGGUAAGUGGAUGUGAAAUGCCCCGGCUCACCCGGGGACCGGCAUCCCAAACUGCUUGGCUUGAGUAUGGGAGAGGAUGAGGGAAUUCCUGGUGUAGCGGUGAAAUGCGUAGAUAUCAGGAGGAACACCGGUGGCGAAGGCGCUCAUCUGGCCCAAUACUGACGCUGGAGGCGACGAAAGCUAGGGGAGCAAACGGG